CCUACGGGUGGCUGCAGUGAGGAAUAUUGGUCAAUGGGCGAGAGUCUGAACCAGCCAAGUAGCGUGAAGGAUGACUGCCCUAUGGGUUGUAAACUUCUUUUAUAUGGGAAUAAAAUGUUCCACGUGUGGGAAUUUGUAUGUACCAUCUGAAUAAGGAUCGGCUAACUCCGUGCCAGCAACCGCGGUAAUACGGAGGAUACGAGCGUUAUCCGGAUUUAUUGGGUUUAAAGGGAGCGUAGGUGGAUUGUUAAGUCAGUUGUGAAAGUUUGCGGCUCAAACGUAAAAUUGCAGUUGAAACUGGCAGUUUUGAGUACAGUAGAGGUGGGCGGAAUUCGUGGUG
rnacentral:rRNA from 1 species